CCCCUCUCAGGGUCAUGCCUGGAGAGUUUCCAGUACUCUACCAGUCUUGGCUAUGGGAGGGAGAGUCGAGCAGAGGCCUACCAUUCCAUUCCAGUUUGGCCAGUGGCUAGUGAGUGGAAGACCAUCUGCUACAGGU